GAUGAACGCUAGCGGCAGGCUUAAUACAUGCAAGUCGUGGGGCAGCAUGACUGUAGCAAUACAGUUGAUGGCGACCGGCAAACGGGUGCGGAACACGUACGCAACCUACCCAAAACUGGGGAAUAGCCCGGGGAAACCCGGAUUAAUACCUCGUAACAUAAUAAAGUGGCAUCACUAUAUUAUUAUAGCUCCGGCGGUUUUGGAUGGGCGUGCGCCUGAUUAGGUAGUUGGCGGGGUAACGGCCCACCAAGCCUUCGAUCAGUAACUGGUGUGAGAGCACGUCCAGUCACACGGGCACUGAGACACGGGCCCGACUCCUACGGGAGGCAGCAGUAAGGAAUAUUGGUCAAUGGACGCAAGUCUGGACCAGCCAUGCCGCGUGGAGGAUGAAGGUCCUCUGGAUUGUAAACUUCUUUUAUCUGGGAAGAAAUCCAUUUUUUCUAAAGUGGUUGACGGUACCAGAUGAAUAAGCACCGGCUAACUCCGUGCCAGCAGCCGCGGUAAUACGGGA
rnacentral:rRNA from 1 species